rnacentral:lncRNA from 1 species
GCCUGCAGCUCCUUGAUCUUCUUCUGUAACUGCAUGCCCAGGGCUUGCUCAUCCUCAAUUUUGCUCUGGAUCUGGCUGAUUUCAAAGUCUUUCUUCUUCAGUUUCUCAUCCAGCUGCUGUUUAUCAUUUUCCAAGUCCAUUGUGGAUUCCUGAGUCAUUUUCAGGUCUCCUUCAAGUUUCCUCUUAGCUCUCUCAAGGUCCAUGCGCAGCUUCUUCUCUUGCUCCAGGGACCCUUCCAGAUCGUCUACUUGCUGCUCCAGCUUGGUUUUAGCUUUGGUCAGCGUAUUGACUUUGUCCUCUUCAGCCUGCAGGUCAUCCAGUGUCUGCUGAUGGGCCUCUUGGAGGGCUUUCUUCUCUUUUGUCAGCUUGGCAAUGUUCUCGUCCAAGGCUGCCAUCUCCUCUGUGAGGUUUUUCACCUUGUUUUCAGUGGCAUGCUUUUCCUUCUCAACUUUGGCCAGUGUUAACUCCAGGUCAUC